UAAGAUUUUUCGACUUUAGCUUGAUUUCUACCUUUCCUAUGCCUUUGUUUCCAUUUAGCAUGCUUGAGGAGAGAGAUCUAAAAGUGACAUCAAGGGCUGGAUGAAAUUCUAGGGGAGAGAUUUUGGAAUUUUUAGGUUUUGAUUUUUAGUUAAAUUGGUAGUUUUAGUUAGUUAAAUGUGUUUAGAAAUUAAAUUGGGCAAGAAAGCAUUAAAUUUUCACAAUACCCACCCUUGGCCGACUCUGC
rnacentral:lncRNA from 1 species